CAGGACUCGCAAGACUCCUGUAAACCACUGUGAACUUACCUACAACCCGUUGCCUCGGCGGGUGCUCCGGGCGCGUCUUCGGGCGCUCCGGGGCGCUCCAGCCCGCCGGCGGCCCCUAAACUCUGUCUCUGUAACGUUGGCAUCUCCGAGCAGACUAUAAACGAGUC
rnacentral:misc_RNA from 1 species